rnacentral:lncRNA from 10 species
AUGUCUGGCUGAACCUGGUUUAUUACCCACUUUCUGCCUUUUCUGCACUGAAUUACUUGCCAUGUACUAAUGCACAACGGGCUUAGCAAGAUUGUCUGGAGGCAAUGUGAAGAUUAUUCUGGAUUGGAAAAUGAGAAUAAUGAAUAAGGAAGACUAUGGAACUAUUUCUGUAAUUCGAAGAAGCUACAAUAGAACCUUGAAACAAGAUGGUGGCAGUAAAGCUGAAGAAAAUAAACAGAGAUGAGAAAUGGAGAGAUAUUUAAGAGGUAAAAUGUAUGAAAUUUGAUGAUUAAUAGAAAAUGCAGGUGUGAGAGGAUGGUUUCAAAACCUCCCAUAUUUGUGGGUUUUGAAUUUUGGCACUGUGGUACCAUUUAUUGAUAAAUAGUGCAGAUGGAACAAUUUGGGAAGUAAUCACUGAUAAACUUGAGCAAGUUAAUGAUAGGUGAACAUGUUAUAUUUUAACAAAGUGGAUGGAGCACAAUCACCCUGCUUUGAUAGACCCAGGCACUGACCAACAUGUUUCACAUAUUUCUCCUUUUAUGGAUAAAGUAACUGAGUACAGCAUAGUCUAUAAAGUAAAGAUAGCUUUCUGUUUUAUAAAGAAAUAUUUUCCUACUCUACUUCCUUCACCAUUCACUCAUUCAUUUCUCGAUAAUUCAUCACAUACAUAUUGGACAACUUAUGUGUUACUGAUUUAUCCUGGGUGCUUGAGAUAUGGGAAUGAUCAAGGCAGACUCAGACCUGGGCCAUUUUGACCUUUCAAACUUUCUAAUGUGAAGGUAUUUAGAAUGUACCAGGAAGAAAAAUGACACAACCAUUCUUUAGGCAAUUUGAUAUGUCAUGAGUUACUAAAAAUGUUAAUAUUCUAAAACAAUAAUUUACUUUCUAAGAAUACUUUUUUUAAAUAUCGGAGCUAAGUAAAAAAUUCUCUAUAUUUAUGAAUGUUUUUCAGUGCACUUUAUAACAGGAAAAAGGUCAGAAACUUCUUAAUGACCAAAAAUGGACAUUAUCACAACAUAUGAUACAUUCAUACAAUAUUCUCCACUCAUUAAUAUGGUAUUAUAGAAAAACAUUUUCAGAUAUGGAAAAAUGAUUUUAUUAUAUUGCUUACUACAAAAAAUAUGUACAUAUGAUUCUCACUUUGUAAAAAAAGUAAAAGGUAAAUAUUGAUACACGUGUGACUGAGCCUGGAAAUACAUACUUUGAAGUACUUUUGGGUGAUAUUUUGGUGAUUCCUCUUUGUGCUCUUCUCUGCCCUCUGAAUUUUCUACAAUAAUUAUGUA